UUCAUUUCAUUAUUUCGCUUCGUCCGAUAAACACUCCUAUAUAAACUACCAAUAUUUGUUUUUCCAAUCUGUUAAAUUAGAAUUUAUAACGUGAUCAUUUUUUUUUUUUUUUUUGUUAAUUUACUUUUAUAUUUUAUAUUAAAUUAUUAUAUUUACAAUUUACGAACAAGAAAAGCAAACCGGCACAGGAUUUUAAGUGAUCAGCUUCUUGGGUUGUUAUAUUAUAUAGAUGUAUAAAAUGUCAUUAUCUGAAAUCAUGAAGUCAAUAAAAAGAUUGAAUGUAAGAACACUGAUAAUUUCAAAACUGAUCGAUAAAAAAAAAAAAGAAAAUAUAGAAUUAAAAAUCAGUAUUAAUAAACUAAAUACAAAAAUACAAAAAAAAAUUUUAAUCAAAAAAAAGUUAUUGAAAGAAAUUAAUAAUAUUGAUAAACCGAAAAAAGAAUACGAAGACGAAUUCAUGUAUAAACUUUACAAUAACAGAAAAUUGGCAUCAACUAUUAAUAUUCAAUUUGAAGAAAUACAAAGAUUAAUAGCUGAAAAAGACGACAAAACUGAUUUUAUGGAUAAACAAAUGAAAAUUAUUAACGAAAAUAGUAUCUACAAAAAAACUACACUGUUGUUAAAAAGAUUAGAAAAAGAAAAGGAAGACGAAUACUAUAAGUUAUCAUGUAAAACUUUGAUGAUAAACGAUAUAUUGUUUAAUAAAAUAAAUGCUUCAAAAGCUAAGAAGUUAAUUGAAAAAAACAAAAUAUUAAAUGAAAAAUAUCAUAAUUUAAAAAAAGUAAAAAAAAAAAAAAAAUAGCAAUGUAAAGCCGAUUAAAUUGAAAACAGUACUGAACAAAGUCGAAAUAUUUAAACACCAGUUCGUAUCAUAUUUCGACGAUACCUACGAUAGUGUUGACAAAACAGAAAUACUUAAGAUUAUAAUAUUAACCUUCAAUCAAUUAAUUACUAAUGGAUAUAUGUGCUAUUGGAAAUCAAAUGGUAAAAUAUUUAAAAACAAUGCAGAGCUCUGGACAGUGCACAAUCCAUCUGGAAUGCAUAUAAACCUCAAUUUGCCGUUUAAUCAGAUUAUUUGAUCUGUUUCUACAAACCUUCUACUGCAGAUGUUCAGAAACUGUCAGUUGUACCGUCUAAGUAACAUGCCUUAAACGAAAAUACAAUUAAAAAUAAUUAUUAGUCAGAUGAAUAGAUGAUGAAGAUGAUUGGUUUUAGUACCAAUCAUACGCAUUGUGCUAAUUAUACGCUCUUUAAGUUUAUUGUCCGUGUCAGUUGAUGUGAAACAAUAAAUAAUAUUUAAUUUUCAA